GGGGCCAGGAAGAAAGACAGAGCCUGGGCGACAGAGACAGAGAGGCUUCCUGCAGCUCUCUUCUUAAGAGACAGUGCUGCUUCCCGGAAGACUUCAGCAAACCUUGCCAACUUUAAUUGAACGCAAAUGGACACAUGGCCUUUUCUGAACCAACUGCUGAUUCGUGAGACACGUCCACAGGCAUGAAGUUUCGGUUCACACAUUUUCACAGACACCUCCUGAUGUGUGAACGUAUUCGUUCAUUCUCCUGUUCAGCACUGAGGAGGAUGCUUUAACGGCUACAGAGGAAGCUGCCAUGAACAGGCUCGGUACACGACUCCGUAUUCCUAGCGGAGUUUCUCUGCAGUGUAUCAGUAAGAACAGCAUCCCUGAGUCCUAAGGUACAGGAAUCUUAACCUUUGUUCUCCUCCGUAGAGGCUGUACCAUGCUCGGUCUCCACCAGCUGGGCGUGAUGGUUCUGCCCCCACACACACUCUCGCCCGCACAUGCGAGUCCAACAUCUCCCCUCCCCAGGUCACCACUGGCAUUUGCCUGUUCCAAGGAGUCAGGCUUCUUGAAACGGUCUGUCACUCCUGCUGGUCUCCAAACUCCACGGAGGCAAAGACUGUUUACUUCCUUCUCUCCCAGACCCUGGACAGUGCUCAGCACUUAGGAAGUUUCAUGAGGGAAAGAAGGCCAGAUGCUGAGCUUUACUGAAGCCAGGGCCCCAGCCACCUUCUCUGCGUAAAUCUUUGGCUAUGCCGUUAACAGUACGGAGGGCGGGUGGGAGGUGCUGGGAAAGGCUUGCUAUGAGCUGAAUCAGCACACGCUCUGUCUGCAGGGUGGGGAAAAGAGGCGGCCCUCCAGCUGCCGAUCAGUCUCCUCAAGAUCAGCCUCAUCCAGGAGUCCUUGUCCCCUGCCCUUCCCCCACGGAGCUUUGGGUCACUAGCCCCUCUCCACGUCUCCUGGCCAGGGUCUCCCUCAGCCUCUGGCUCAGGCUCAGUCGUUCAGGUCCAUCUGGUUUACUCUCUGAUCGAGAUGGGGGCAGGGAAGCGGGUGGGGGGGGGCGGGUCGGAGGAUGAGGAGGAAGGCAGUCUUCCUGGUCCCGCCCAGCAGGCAGCAUCCCAAACCUCAACUUCUCAGUUCAGGACUCUGAUAAAGGAAUUUGGUGGUCCUUCUGCUUUUUAAAUUCCUCCUUCUAUUGUCCUCACUUAAAAUGGGCCAAAUUCCUAGAAAAAGACAAGUGUGCACCACACCCAAGUCGUGCAUCCAAACUUUUCUGUUUCUAACAAAUUCGGGGGCAGGGGCGCCCUCUGGAGGCCUAUGAAAGUGUGUGCGGGCAUUUUUCGCUUUUUCCCUGCUUGGGAAUUGAAUGGGUCAGGGGCAGGGAGGAGUGAGACCCAGCAUGAGCCGGACAGGCCCACACAGGGAGGAACUGUCCGGCCUAACAUGCCCAUCGCUCCCUUGUUAAAAAACUCUGCGGGCUCCAGGAGGCUGAGGACAAGUGUGUCCCCAACACCUGGCCUGGAUGGGAGCUCCGCAAACACCUGCUAAGGGAACGAAGGCAUGUGUGAACGUGGUAUUCUACCGCCCCAGCCUGCAGAACUCAAGGGCCCACUACAAGCACACCUUGAAAACCAGGGUGUUAACUCCUCGGUCAGAAAAAGAUAGGAAUCUGAGGGGAAAUUAUCCUUCCUGCCGGAGGGGGCAGGGGAAACAUAUCUGUAUCUCAGACUUCACAAAGCAGCUAAAACCUUACAGGCACCCUCACCUGCCUAACAAUGGCCAUGAAUGAACCCGGCGGGGCAAACUUUGCCAAAGGAAUUACGUGGGCUUUUGAGCGAGAGUGAAGGGAAUUCCCAAGCUCAUCUAAUGAGAGAGGAGAGAGCGAGGGACAAAGAGCCGGGCUCUGGAUCAGAAGCCAAAGGGUCAGACCUCGGCUGGGACACCUAGUAGCGAGCUGGCAGUUGCCAAACCUCUCCAAGCCUUGUCUUCCUCAUCUAUAAAAUAGGGACAAUGACACUUACCCUAGAGGACAAUGUGAGGAUUAGACGAUCGUACAAGUAAAGCACAGUGCCUGGAUCUGAAGAAACACACCAUCGCCAUCAUCAGUUAAUUAUCUGAAAGGCAACCCCAGAGGGACGGCAGUAACAAAGCCGCCGAUCACCUUGGGGAACAGAACAGACACGUGGCCAUUCUUUUACCCAAGGGCUUACGCAGACCAGCAGACCACGGAACGCUGUGUUCCUAAGAGACACAAAUGAAGUCGUUUUAUUCUGCCCCUAAGUCAUCUUGUUCCCUGUUGAACAACACAGCAUUGUGACUCAUGUUAAUGAUGAUUCUGUUUCUCUAUCUCUGAGAUGAUAAAUACUUCACUUUUAGGCCUCACUUGCAGAAAACGAAGGCCCUCCAGCUAACUUACUCCGCAAACUUAUACAAAUUCUCUUUACUUCCCCCACCCUCCAUCUCCUCCCCACCCAAGGCCACUGCUGACAUUUGGCUGUUCCAGGGAGUAGACGAGUGCUUAAUCCAGUAACUUCAAACAUCGAUAAUGAUGAAAACACUUGGCAUCUGUUUUCUGUGGAAACAUGAAAGCUUCCAAGCAAUAUUUACAGAACCCACUUCCGCAACCACUGCUCUCCAGUUUGAUGAAGGAACAGUAAAACAUGACGUUCCAGAUCAGUUACAAGCUGUUCCUGGACUGUGUCAGGGCCAAUCUUUUAUCGUUUCAAAUUUAGGAGUCCGCCACUAGAAAAUAAUCACUUACCAGCUGAUGCAGCAAAUGCUCUCUCCUCUCACUCCCAGGCAAUACAGUUUGGGGUCUUCUUGACUCAAAUCGCAACCAAAGCCCCUUCCACACAUUUUGGAGAUGGCUGGGGAUCGGGGGAUUAAUUCCCUACCAGGAGAAUGUGAAUUGGGGCAUGUUCGUGAGUUCAUCAGUCUUUUAGUAAAGAUGCUCUGGCAUAAACAAAUCAACGAGGGAACAGGGAAGGGGAAUUUAAAAAUAAAAAAACCCAACUCGGUCCCCAUUCAGAACAGUGGGAAAAUCCUCCCCAGGAGAGCCUGUGUGCAGCCUGCAAUUUUCACCCAUCCAAUUUCACGCCACAGUAUCGGAUGUGAAGCAAACCCACCAUCCCUCAGUAUCACUACGUGUAUGAGGCCGAAUCAUGAGCCCCAAAGACAUCAGGUCCUAACACCUGGAACCAGUGACUGUGACCUUAUAUGCAAAAAGGGGUCUUUGUAGAUGUGAUUAAAUUUAAAAUCUUGAGAUAGGGAGAUUAUCCUGGAUCAUCUAUGGGCCCUAAAUGCCAUCACAAGUGUCCGGCAAAGGGCGAUCAAACACAGAAGAUAAGGACCUAUGGCCAUGGGGGCAGGGACGGUGACACAGCCCUAGCCAAGGAAUGUCAGCAGCCACCAGACACUGAUUUUCCCCUAGAGCUCCCAGCACAAACAGAGUCCUGCCGACACCAUGACUAGGACCCGAUGGAACUGAUUUUGGAAUUCUGGCCUCCAAAGCUAAGGACAUAAAUUGCUGUUGUUUGAAGCCCCUAUGAGGCACUUUGUCUGUGGCACUUUGUUAGAGCAACCAUAGCACACUAGUAUAACUAGGCAAAUAAAAGGCAGAUCAGAGAGAGUUAAGAAUUUAGCACUGUAAAGAAUUUAAUGCAAUCCUCCCUGUGUUUCUGUUUGAUACAUCAGAGAGGAGGCCAAGGGCCGUGACAAAUCCACCCACAGUGGGAGGCAGAGCUGAAACCAGGUCUUCUGAGUCGCGCAGUUCUUUCUAAGGAAGGGAGGUCCAGCCUUUGGCCUGUGCGGGUACCCUCCUAACUUUCUCAGACUGUUUCCAGGGCUCUACAAUACUCUCCCCUCUGGCGGCAACAGGCCACAGGUUACUGUUUAAAUUUGAAUUAAUUACAAGUAAAUAAAAUUUAAAAUUCAGUUCCUUGGCAUUCCUGGUGCAGUGCUAGGGGAUAGGUAUAGCUCUGUAGCACCAGGAUGCAGGUUCAAUCCCCAAGCCGGCACAGUGGGUUAAAGGAUCCGGCCUUGCUACAGAUGCAGCAUAGGUUGCAACUGAGGCUCAGAUCUGAUCCCUGGCCCAGCUAUAUCAUAUGCUGUGGUGGCCAAAAAAGGAAAAAAAAAAAAAAAA
rnacentral:lncRNA from 1 species